rnacentral:rRNA from 1 species
GACGAACGCUGGCGGCGUGCUUAACACAUGCAAGUCGAACGGAAAGGCCCUGCUUUUGUGGGGUGCUCGAGUGGCGAACGGGUGAGUAACACGUGAGUAACCUGCCCUUGACUUUGGGAUAACUUCAGGAAACUGGGGCUAAUCCCGGAUAGGAGCUCCUGCUGCAUGGUGGGGGUUGGAAAGUUUCGGCGGUUGGGGAUGGACUCGCGGCUUAUCAGCUUGUUGGUGGGGUAGUGGCUUACCCAGGCUUUGACGGGUAGCCGGCCUGAGAGGGUGACCGGCCACAUGGGGACUGAGAUACGGCCCAGACGCCUACGGGAGGCAGCAGUGGGGAAUAUGGCACAAUGAGCGGAAGCCUGAGGCAGCAACGCCGCGUGCGGGAUGACGGCCUUCGGGUUGUAAACCGCUUUCGCCUGUGACGAAGCGUGAGUGACGGUAAUGAGUAAAGAAGCACCGGCUAACUACGUG